AGAGUUUGAUCAUGGCUCAGGAUGAACGCUAGCGGCAGGCUUAACACAUGCAAGUCGAGGGGCAGCGGGAUGUAGCAAUACAUUGCCGGCGACCGGCGGAUGGGUGCGUAACGCGUAUGCAACCUACCUUAUACAGGGGAAUAACCUUUCGAAAGGGAGACUAACACCCCAUAGUAUUGAUUUAAGGCAUCUUAGAUUAAUUAAAUAUUUAUAGGUAUAAGAUGGGCAUGCGUAUGAUUAGCUAGUUGGUAAGGUAACGGCUUACCAAGGCGACGAUCAUUAGGGGUUCUGAGAGGAAGGUCCCCCACACUGGUACUGAGACACGGACCAGACUCCUACGGGAGGCAGCAGUGAGGAAUAUUGGUCAAUGGGCGCAAGCCUGAACCAGCCAUGCCGCGUGCCAGGAAGACGGCCUUAUGGGUUGUAAACUGCUUUUACAUAAGACUAACCGUAUAUUUGCGAAUAUACCUGAAUGUAUUAUGAGAAUAAGGAUCGGCUAACUCCGUGCCAGCCGCCGC
rnacentral:rRNA from 1 species